rnacentral:lncRNA from 1 species
GACCCCCAUUUGGACCAACUUGAAAACUAGGCCAAUAAUUAAAAAAUCUAAGUACAUUCUUAAAUUCAGCAUAUCAAAGAACCCCAAGGAUUCAAUUUUUGUUAAAAUCAAACAAAGUUUAAUUUUGGACCCUUUGGACCUUAAUGUAGACCAAUUUGAAAACGGGACCAAAAAUUAAGAAUCUACAUACAUAGUUAGAUUCGUCAUAUCAAAGAACCCCAAUUAUUCAAUUUUUGAUGAAAUCACACAAAGUUCAAUUUUGGACCCUUUGGGCCCCUUAUUCCUAAACUGUUAGGACCAAAACUCCCAAAAUCAAACCCAACCUUCCUUUUAUGGUCAUAAACCUUGUGUUUAAAUUUCAUAGAUUUCUAUUUACUUAUACUAAAGUUAUGGUGCAAAAAAC